rfam:Botryobasidium botryosum FD-172 SS1 unplaced genomic scaffold BOTBOscaffold_67, whole genome shotgun sequence.
GGGCAAAUAGCUCAGUUGGUAGAGCGCGCGCUUCGCAUGCGCGAGGUCUUGGGUUCAAUUCCCAAUUUGUCCA